rnacentral:rRNA from 1 species
AUACGGAGGGUGCAAGCGUUACUCGGAAUCACUGGGCGUAAAGCGCGCGCAGGCGGCUAUUUAAGUUGGAUGUGAAAGCCUACGGCUCAACCGUAGAACUGCAUCCAAAACUAUUUAGCUAGAGUGUGGGAGAGGAAGAUGGAAUUAGUUGUGUAGGGGUAAAAUCCGUAGAGAUAACUAGGAAUACCAAAAGCGAAGGCAAUCUUCUGGAACACUUCUGACGCUGAGGCGCGAAAGCGUUGGGAGCAAACAGGAUUAGAAACCCUAGUAGUCC